UUGCACGCUGGCGGCAGGCCUAACACAUGCAAGUCGAGCGGAUGAAGGGAGCUUGCUCCUGGAUUCAGCGGCGGACGGGUGAGUAAUGCCUAGGAAUCUGCCUGGUAGUGGGGGAUAACGUCCGGAAACGGGCGCUAAUACCACAUACGUCCUGAGGGAGAAAGUGGGGGAUCUUCGGACCUCACGCUAUCAGAUGAGCCUAGGUCGGAUUAGCUAGUUGGUGGGGUAAAGGCCUACCAAGGCGACGAUCCGUAACUGGUCUGAGAGGAUGAUCAGUCACACUGGAACUGAGACACGGUCCAGACUCCUACGGGAGGCAGCAGUGGGGAAUAUUGGACAAUGGGCGAAAGCCUGAUCCAGCCAUGCCGCGUGUGUGAAGAAGGUCUUCGGAUUGUAAAGCACUUUAAGUUGGGAGGAAGGGCAGUAAGUUAAUACCUUGCUGUUUUGACGUUACCAACAGAAUAAGCACCGGCUAACUUCGUG
rnacentral:rRNA from 1 species